rnacentral:lncRNA from 1 species
CAGAAACGCAGGAGUGAGCUGAUGAGAGGGGAGUUCACUUCAUUUAACUGCAGCAUUUUUUUUCUAACGUGUUCCUGAAACUAAGGGACUCGUGAAUUCAGGGUAUUUUGGUGUCACUGCUUGUGCUUGGCCAUAUGUCUCCCUGAACUUGUGGAAGAAGAGGAAUUCUGGCCCACUCUGUAGACUGCAGUACCAUAUUUGAAUGGCCUCAAGUGUAAUCCCAGAUAUGUCUGGGCUCCUCAGAGGCUGCAUUUUCAUUCUCUCCUUGAUGGUGACCUGAACCUGAACUAAAACCUAAGGUCUACAGGCAGCUCUGAGUCCCACAUAGUUGCCUGGAGAGCCCCUGUAUCCUCUCCUUCCCUCAGUCCUCAAGCACACUAGGAGGUAAAGGAGUCAGCUGUGUUGCAACACUGGUGCUUACCCCCUGUGUGUCCAGGCCCCCUGUUAGAGUACCAACACGACUGUGGUAAGAAGGAACAAGAGGGAGUAAGAUUCUGCUGCCAGGAAAGCUCCUGCCUUCAGGAAUUUUCCACAGAGGGUGCCCCAGCAACAGGAAAGGAGUUUUGUGUUACACAAGGAGGACAAUCACUGUGGCUGCAUCCUCAUAACACAGAGCUGCAUGUGAAAGGUGUAUGCAGCAGCACUGGGGACAUAUUCCACUUCAACAGAUGAAACCUUUUCUCCCCAUUGUUAGCAACACUGACUAGAUGAUGAAGCCAAACAAGGAGAUACCCUGCAGUUCCUAUGAUGACACAUCUCACUGCUGCUGACUCACCUGGUGAUAUAAGACUUUCUGUUGGUAUUUCUAUAAAUGACAAAAAUAAACAUCUGCUAAG